GCCCGGCCCAGAAACUAGACUUUUCUUAGUGUGCAUGUAUAUUUGGCUGUGAUAUCAUAUAAUUAUAAACCAAAAAUAAAUAAAAAUAGAAAAAUCCUAAAACUUGGAAAUAGAACAAAACACAUGAAUUGAACUGCUCAAGUUAGAGAUUUAACAUGUAGAAAAGGACGAUUUCAGGAGACUUGAAACUCAACAGUGUGAUGUGGAACCCCAGUAGGCCAGCACCAAGGAUGUCUGUGCAGAAACUGAGGUCGUUUUCGAUAAGCCUAGUGUAUGAGUCACUUUCCCAUAGCUGGGACAAAAUGCCUGAUGCAGCCUAGAGGAGCAGAGGGCUCUUGGCUUACAGUUCCGGGGGCUCAGUCUGCAGCUGCUGGGUCUAAGGCAGAAGCUGCAUGACUGGCUUGGCGGAGGAAGGGUGCUCACCCUGUGGCAGCCAGGAAGCAAAGAGAGAAGGGUGGAGCCAGGAGGAGAUUCCUUCCAGGUCACACCCAGCAAUCCCUCCAGCCAGACCCUGCCUCCUGCUGCAUAUUCUGCAAACUCAUUCCUGGACCCAGUCACCCUCUGCACACCGCGGGAUAUGGGGGACACUCUGGAUCUAAACCAUAACCUGGUCAUCUUGGUAUCGAUAUUGUGGAAUUAUUAUAUAAAGUGGGGGGCCAGGGAUUUAGCUCAGCGACACAGGGCCCAUCUGGCAUGAGGUUGCAAGUUCCAUUCCCAGUACCAAAAAAUAAAAAUAAAGAAGUGAGAUCAAGCAAAUAAGUAGUACUGUCCAGUAAUAUGAAGAGCCAGUAUUUUCAGUUUUAGACAAGCUACAUUAAUAUAAGAAGUAAAAACUCUGAAUUUUGGAUUUGAAUGCAAAAUUUAGUAUGAUUUUUUUUCCCAGUGCUGGGGAUUGAGUCCAGGGCCUUAUACGUGUCAGCCAAACACUCUACCACUGUGCUACUUCUCCAAUACUGAUAGUUUUCUUUUAAAACACAUUUCUUAUUCUGUCUUCUGAGAAGGUGUACAGUUGUCCAACUGAUUACUCACUGGUCAGGUGGCUACUUACAGUAAAUAAAAUUUCAUACCGUAUUUGAAUGUCUGCCCACCGAUGUCUACAGCAGCAUUGGUACUACUAACACUGACAGGCAGAUGGCCUGGCCCAAAAGGUCACCAUCCGACGAGAGGACAUGUUUGUGUAUGUGAUGGAAUGUUCUUCCCUACUGAAAAGAAAUCCAAUUCAGACCACGCCACAAAGUAAGUGAACAUUGAAGAUCUGACACUAAGUGAAACAAACCAGGGGCAGGACACAUAUCGCCCACAGAGGGCGAGGUGGCAGCUUCCAGGAGAAGCUGGGGGGACGACGAGCAGUGGCCCCUCAGUGGGGACAGAGUUGAAGCCCUGGAGGGACGGGGAAGCCUUGGAGCUGGACUCAUGGCGAUAAGAGUGUGCUGAGUGACGCCAGCAGCACCCUUACACAGGUGAAUGCGGUAAAGUUGAUGUCGCGUAUGUUUGAUCAUAAUACAAGGUUUUAGGUAAGAUCUAAGAUCCCAUUCCUCAGUCAGGUGGGACACAUCUCAGAUGCCCAGCAGUCGGCAUGGCCAGCGGCUCCCGUCUCCUCCUGGACAGCACCAGCCUGGACGCAGGCACUGGCCAGCCACAGCGAACCCGCUCCAUGCCCAGUCGGCCCUUCCUAGCUGAAGCUGCUGACCUCAGGUGAGAAGCAGCAGAUGUGAGGAGCUUCUGGAGUACCUGCUAGUGAGACGCAAGGAACGCCCCGGAGUCCAGUGUCAGAGGACGCACCUGCUGAUUUGAAGGGGCUCCCACCGGCCAAAACAAGGGCAAUUUCAGUAUGGAAACAAAAUGGCAGGGGAUCGACACCUCGAACGUGUUCAUACCCAUGGGUUUAACUUAGAAAUCCAAGGCAAUGGCCAGCUCUGAAGGGUGCUAGGUACUAAGUUACUCUUCCAGACGCUGCUUUCUCACUGUCCUCGGGGAAGGACUGGCACUUACCAGGAGGAACUCACCCAGCGGCCCACCUCCAGCUGCAGGGACCCAUGGCAGCAUGUGUGCUGCGACCACUGUCCUUUUGCGUGGCCCCUGGACGGCCACUGACACAGACCCUCUGUUCCCCAACACCGGGCUGGUUUGCAGUGGAGUUAGAGUCCCCUACCCGUCCUGUCUGCUCCCUGUGUCCCUUUGCAGAGCUCAUGUGGGUGCUGAGGCCCGAAGGCUCAGCCCAAAUCCUCCCUCCCCCGAGAACUCUAGUAGGCACGAGUCCUAGCACGGCCUUCACACUCCUAGUUCCAGCUCAUGGUCUGGCUGCAGGGCGCAAGUUGCCUGGCUGAUACCAGGAACGGUCUGAGAAAGCAGAAGGCCCGUCUCGGCCCACCUGCAAAGGAAGCCCCUGAUUCGCCGCUGAAGGAAAACAACCAAGGCAUCAAAGUUCAUCAGUCUGUUUCCAGGCUCUGCAGUGUCCUCAUCCUACCCAGGUUACCUGGCGAAACUGCUCUUCCGCCGUGCCCCGUGGAACGCCUUUUACAUUUUUGGCUGGGAUGCUGCUGGAGUGUGAGCUCUUCUAGUGCAGACUCUUCAGCUUCUACCUUGGAUCCUCCAGCCCUCUGUCAUAGAUUGGUCAGCCUUCUGUCACAGACCCAUCAGCCUCCUGAUGCAGGCUUGCA